ACAUUGACAGUUCAGUGGUAUAAUUCUUGCCUUCCGUGCGGGAGAUCCAGGUUCGAUUCCUAGCCAAUGCA
rnacentral:tRNA from 1 species